AGCAGCAUGGCUCAGUGGAAAGGGCAUUGGCUUGGGAGUCAGAGGUCCUGGGUUCGAAACCCUGCUCUGCCA
rfam:Ornithorhynchus anatinus chromosome 3, whole genome shotgun sequence.